GAAGAAAUCCUUAGAAGCGCCUUCUCUGCAACUGAGGAUGGAUUUCUUACUCUUGUACGUAGGACUUGUGGACUAAAACCAUUGAUUGCAGCAAUUGGAUCUUGUUGUUUGGUUGGAGUUAUAUGGAGAGGGACAUUAUUCGUUGCAAAUCUGGGUGAUUCUCGAGCUGUAAUCGGUUGUUUAGGUAGAUCUAAUAAGAUACAUGCUGAGCAGUUGACUAAGGAUCAUAAUGCAUGUUUGGAAGAGGUUAGACAGGAGCUCAAAUCCUUGCAUCCAGAUGAUUCACAUAUUGUAGUUAUGAAGCAUGGUGUUUGGCGCAUCAAAGGCAUUAUUCAGGUAUCCCGAUCUAUAGGUGAUGCAUACUUGAAGAGGCCAGAGUUUUCUCUUGAUCCUUCAUUUCCACGAUUUCACCUUCCUGAGCCAAUUCGCCGACCUGUGCUAACAUCAGAGCCAUCCAUAUGUUCAAGAGUUUUACGACCCAAUGAUAAAUUUCUCAUAUUUGCGUCUGAUGGGCUUUGGGAACACAUGACAAACCAAGAAGCUGUGGAAAUUGUGUAUAAUUAUCCACGCACUGGAAUUGCAAGAAGACUUGUUAAAACGGCUUUAAAAGAGGCAGCUAAGAAGAGGGAGAUGAGAUAUGAUGAUCUUAAGAAAAUUGAUAAGGGAAGCAGGCGGUUUUUCCAUGAUGAUAUAACAGUGAUUGUCAUCUUUAUAGACCAUGAAUUGCUGAGUAAAAAUAUCUCUGUACCAGAGGUAUCAAUACGAGGUUUUUUUGACACUGUUGGACCAUCAAAUUUUAACAUUCUCCAUGGAAAUUAAUGGUAAUACAAUGUCCAUUAUCCGAAGUAGCAUGCAUUGCUUGAAAUGGUAGCUUUGGCCACUGAAGAGUUUGGCAAGUUUCUGCCUUCAUUCCUCUUCUAGUCUCUCAAAAACAUUUGAGUGCUGUUCCCUUACCCGCCCUCUUCUUUUUCUUCCCAAUUUUCUUUUCAAAUUUAAUCUAGUUCAUGGAGCCUGAUUUCUUUUAACUUUGGUACGUACUGCAUGGCGAUAAGCCUGUCAAGGAAGCUACUGUCUUUUUUUUGGUUUAACAUGCUGGACUCUGUACACACAAGUUUGUAAAAUUUAUACACGAUGUGUCAAUAAUUUUCUGCUUGUAUUGUUAGUAUUGGUUAUUUCAGUUUCGAUGCUCAAUGAACUAGAUUAAA
rnacentral:misc_RNA from 1 species